rnacentral:rRNA from 1 species
UGCCAGCCGUCGCGGUAAUACGAAGGGUGCUAGCGUUGUUCGGAAUUAUUGGGCGUAAAGCGCGUGUAGGCGGUUCGUUAAGUCUGAUGUGAAAGCCCGGAGCUUAACUCCGGAAUAGCAGUUGGAACUGUAAACCUUGAAUGUCUGAGAGGAUGGGGGAAUUCCUGGUGUAGAAGUGAAAUUCGUAGAUAUCAGGAGGAACACCUGAGGCGAAGGCGCCUGUCUGGCAGCACAUUGACGCUGAGGUGCGAAAGCGUGGGUAGCAAACAGGAUUAGAUA